rnacentral:tRNA from 1 species
GUGGAGCUCAGUGGUAGAGCACUUGCCUAUCACGUGUGAGGUACUGGAUUCGAUUCUCAGUACCACA